UUAAGCGACUAAGCGUACACGGUGGAUGCCCUGGCAGUCAGAGGCGAUGAAGGACGUGCUAAUCUGCGAAAAGCGCCGGCGAGGUGAUAUGAACCCUUGACCCGGCGAUGUCCGAAUGGGGAAACCCAGUGCAAUCCGUUGCACUAUCGUUAACUGAAUACAUAGGUUAACGAGGCGAACCGGGGGAACUGAAACAUCUAAGUACCCCGAGGAAAAGAAAUCAACCGAGAUUCCCCCAGUAGCGGCGAGCGAACGGGGAGCAGCCCGGAGUCUGAAUCAGCUUGUGUGUUAGUGGAACGGUCUGGAAAGUCCGACGGUACAGGGUGAUAGUCCCGUACACGAAAGCACACAUGCUGUGAACUCGAAGAGUAGGGCGGGACACGUGGUAUCCUGUCUGAAUAUGGGGGGACCAUCCUCCAAGGCUAAAUACUCCUGACUGACCGAUAGUGAACCAGUACCGUGAGGGAAAGGCGAAAAGAACCCCGGCGAGGGGAGUGAAAAAGAACCUGAAACCGUGUACGUACAAGCAGUGGGAGCCUCUUUAUGGGGUGACUGCGUACCUUUUGUAUAAUGGGUCAGCGACUUAUAUUCUGUAGCAAGGUUAACCGUAUAGGGGAGCCGAAGGGAAACCGAGUCUUAACUGGGCGUUAAGUUGCAGGGUAUAAACCCGAAACCCGGUGAUCUAGCCAUGGGCAGGUUGAAGGUUGGGUAACACUAACUGGAGGACCGAACCGACUAAUGUUGAAAAAUUAGCGGAUGACCUGUGGCUGGGGGUGAAAGGCCAAUCAAACCGGGAGAUAGCUGGUUCUCCCCGAAAGCUAUUUAGGUAGCGCCUCGUGAACUCAUCUUCGGGGGUAGAGCACUGUUUCGGCUAGGGGGCCAUCCCGGCUUACCAACCCGAUGCAAACUACGAAUACCGAAGAAUGUUAUCACGGGAGACACACGGCGGGUGCUAACGUCCGUCGUGAAGAGGGAAACAACCCAGACCGCCAGCUAAGGUCCCAAAGUCAUGGUUAAGUGGGAAACGAUGUGGGAAGGCACAGACAGCCAGGAUGUUGGCUUAGAAGCAGCCAUCAUUUAAAGAAAGCGUAAUAGCUCACUGGUCGAGUCGGCCUGCGCGGAAGAUGUAACGGGGCUAAACCAUGCACCGAAGCUGCGGCAGCGACACUAUGUGUUGUUGGGUAGGGGAGCGUUCUGUAAGCCGUCGAAGGUGUGCUGUGAGGCAUGCUGGAGGUAUCAGAAGUGCGAAUGCUGACAUAAGUAACGAUAAAGCGGGUGAAAAGCCCGCUCGCCGGAAGACCAAGGGUUCCUGUCCAACGUUAAUCGGGGCAGGGUGAGUCGACCCCUAAGGCGAGGCCGAAAGGCGUAGUCGAUGGGAAACAGGUUAAUAUUCCUGUACUUGGUGUUACUGCGAAGGGGGGACGGAGAAGGCUAUGUCAGCCGGGCGACGGUUGUCCCGGUUUAAGCAUGUAGGCGGAGGUUCCAGGUAAAUCCGGUACCUUAUUAACGCUGAGGUGUGAUGACGAGGCACUACGGUGCUGAAGUGAUAAAUGCCCUGCUUCCAGGAAAAGCCUCUAAGCAUCAGGUAACACGAAAUCGUACCCCAAACCGACACAGGUGGUCAGGUAGAGAAUACCAAGGCGCUUGAGAGAACUCGGGUGAAGGAACUAGGCAAAAUGGUGCCGUAACUUCGGGAGAAGGCACGCUGAUAUGUAGGUGAAGCCCCUGCGGGCGGAGCUGAAAUCAGUCGAAGAUACCAGCUGGCUGCAACUGUUUAUUAAAAACACAGCACUGUGCAAACACGAAAGUGGACGUAUACGGUGUGACGCCUGCCCGGUGCCGGAAGGUUAAUUGAUGGGGUUAGCGGCAACGCGAAGCUCUUGAUCGAAGCCCCGGUAAACGGCGGCCGUAACUAUAACGGUCCUAAGGUAGCGAAAUUCCUUGUCGGGUAAGUUCCGACCUGCACGAAUGGCGUAAUGAUGGCCAGGCUGUCUCCACCCGAGACUCAGUGAAAUUGAACUCGCUGUGAAGAUGCAGUGUACCCGCGGCAAGACGGAAAGACCCCGUGAACCUUUACUAUAGCUUGACACUGAACACUGGUCCUUGAUGUGUAGGAUAGGUGGGAGGCUUUGAAGCGUGGACGCCAGUCUGCGUGGAGCCAACCUUGAAAUACCACCCUUUAAUGGCUGGUGUUCUAACGUAGACCCGUAAUCCGGGUUGCGGACAGUGUCUGGUGGGUAGUUUGACUGGGGCGGUCUCCUCCCAAAGAGUAACGGAGGAGCACGAAGGUUGGCUAAUCCUGGUCGGACAUCAGGAGGUUAGUGCAAUGGCAUAAGCCAGCUUGACUGCGAGCGUGACGGCGCGAGCAGGUGCGAAAGCAGGUCAUAGUGAUCCGGUGGUUCUGAAUGGAAGGGCCAUCGCUCAACGGAUAAAAGGUACUCCGGGGAUAACAGGCUGAUACCGCCCAAGAGUUCAUAUCGACGGCGGUGUUUGGCACCUCGAUGUCGGCUCAUCACAUCCUGGGGCUGAAGUAGGUCCCAAGGGUAUGGCUGUUCGCCAUUUAAAGUGGUACGCGAGCUGGGUUUAGAACGUCGUGAGACAGUUCGGUCCCUAUCUGCCGUGGGCGCUGGAGAAUUGAGGGGGGCUGCUCCUAGUACGAGAGGACCGGAGUGGACGCAUCACUGGUGUUCGGGUUGUCAUGCCAAUGGCACUGCCCGGUAGCUAAAUGCGGAAGAGAUAAGUGCUGAAAGCAUCUAAGCACGAAACUUGCCCCGAGAUGAGUUCUCCCUGAGACCUUGAGUCUCCUGAAGGAACGUUGAAGACGACGACGUUGAUAGGUCGGGUGUGUAAGCGCAGCGAUGCGUUGAGCUAACCGAUACUAAUGAACCGUGAGGCUUAACCUU
rnacentral:rRNA from 1 species